CAGGGAAGCAUGACAAAUGGUGCAAAGUUGUCUAUGGAGUGGAGGUAUUUGAAAAUGGAGCAGAGAUUACAUGCGAGUGGUAAUUUCGAGCAUGCUUGUGUGCUCUACUGCCAUGCUGGACCUCGAUUUCCUGGGCUUCACCAAGAUAACAAAGAA